rnacentral:rRNA from 1 species
AACGAACGCUGGCGGCAUGCCUAACACAUGCAAGUCGAACGAGACCUUCGGGUCUAGUGGCGCACGGGUGCGUAACGCGUGGGAAUCUGCCCUUCGGUUCGGAACAACAGUUAGAAAUGACUGCUAAUACCGGAUGAUGACGUAAGUCCAAAGAUUUAUCGCCGAAGGAUGAGCCCGCGUAGGAUUAGCUAGUUGGUAAGGUAAAAGCUUACCAAGGCGACGAUCCUUAGCUGGUCUGAGAGGAUGAUCAGCCACACUGGGACUGAGACACGGCCCAGACUCCUACGGGAGGCAGCAGUGGGGAAUAUUGGACAAUGGGCGAAAGCCUGAUCCAGCAAUGCCGCGUGAGUGAUGAAGGCCUUAGGGUUGUAAAGCUCUUUUACCAGGGAUGAUAAUGACAGUACCUGGAGAAUAAGCUCCGGCUAACUCCGUGCCAGCCGCCGCCGUAA